rnacentral:snRNA from 1 species
GUGCUCACUUCUGCAGCACAUAUACUAAAAUUGGAGCAAUACAGAGAUUAGCAUGGCCACUGUGCAAGGGUGACAUGCAAAUUUGGGAUACAUUCCAUAAAAAA